rnacentral:rRNA from 1 species
GGGCGGGACACGUGACAUCCUGUCUGAAUAUGGGGGGACCAUCCUCCAAGGCUAAAUACUCCUGACUGACCGAUAGUGAACCAGUACCGUGAGGGAAAGGCGAAAAGAACCCCUGUGAGGGGAGUGAAAUAGAACCUGAAACCGUGUACGUACAAGCAGUGGGAGCCCUUCGGGGUGACUGCGUACCUUUUGUAUAAUGGGUCAGCGACUUACAUUUUGUAGCGAGGUUAACCGUAUAGGGGAGCCGUAGGGAAACCGAGUCUUAACUGGGCGUCUAGUUGCAAGGUGUAGACCCGAAACCGGGUGAUCUAGCCAUGGGCAGGUUGAAGGUUGAGUAACAUCAACUGGAGGACCGAACCCACUAACGUUGCAAAGUUAGGGGAUGACCUGUGGCUGGGGGUGAAAGGCCAAUCAAACUCGGAGAUAGCUGGUUCUCCCCGAAAGCUAUUUAGGUAGCGCCUCGGACGAAUACUACUGGGGGUAGAGCACUGUUUGGGCUAGGGGGUCAUCCCGACUUACCAACCCCAUGCAAACUCCGAAUACCAGUAAGUAAUAUCCGGGAGACACACGGCGGGUGCUAACGUCCGUCGUGAAGAGGGAAACAACCCAGACCGCCGGCUAAGGUCCCAAAGUUCUGGUUAAGUGGGAAACGAUGUGGGAAGGCUCAGACAGCUAGGAUGUUGGCUUAGAAGCAGCCAUCAUUUAAAGAAAGCGUAAUAGCUCACUAGUCGAGUCGGCCUGCGCGGAAGAUGUAACGGGGCUCAAACCAGGCACCGAAGCCGCGGAUUCACGCUAAGCGUGAGUGGUAGGGGAGCGUUCUGUAAGUCUGCGAAGGUGUAUCGAGAGGUAUGCUGGAGAUAUCAGAAGUGCGAAUGCUGACGUAAGUAACGAUAAAGGGGGUGAAAAGCCUCCUCGCCGGAAGACCAAGGGUUCCUGUCCAACGUUAAUCGGGGCAGGGUGAGUCGACCCCUAAGGCGAGGCCGAAAGGCGUAGUCGAUGGGAAGCAGGUUAAUAUUCCUGCACGACUUGUAAUUGCGAUGGGGGGACGGAGAAGGCUAGGUGGGCCAGG